rnacentral:rRNA from 1 species
UGGGGAAUAUUGCGCAAUGGGGGAAACCCUGACGCAGCAACGCCGCGUGAAGGAUUAAGGCCUUCGGGUCGUAAACUUCUAUCGAUGGGGACGAACAAAAUGACGGUACCCAAGUAAGAAGCCCCGGCUAACUACGUGCCAGCAGCCGCGGUAAAACGUAGGGGGCAAGCGUUAUCCGGAAUUACUGGGUGUAAAGGGUGAGUAGGUGGCAUGUAAAGUCAUGUGUGAAAGCCCGCAGCUUAACUGCGGGACUGCACAAGAAACUUACAAGCUAGAGUACAGGAGAGGUAAGCGGAAUUCCUAGUGUAGCGGUGAAAUGCGUAGAUAUUAGGAAGAACACCAGUGGCGAAGGCGGCUUACUGGACUGAAACUGACACUGAGUCACGAAAGCGUGGGGAGCGAACA